UACGGGGGGGCAAGCGUUGUUCGGAAUUACUGGGCGUAAAGGGCGCGUAGGCGGUUGGAUAAGUCAGCUGUGAAAUCCCCGAGCUCAACUCGGGAACUGCGUCCGAUACUGGCAGGCUUGAAUCCGGGAGAGGGAUGCGGAAUUCCAGGUGUAGCGGUGAAAUGCGUAGAUAUCUGGAGGAACACCGGUGGCGAAGGCGGCAUCCUGGACCGGCAUUGACGCUGAGGCGCGAAAGCCAGGGGAGCAAACGGG
rnacentral:rRNA from 1 species